UACGGGGGGGCAAGCGUUGUUCGGAAUUACUGGGCGUAAAGGGCUUGUAGGUGGCCAACUAAGUCAGACGUGAAAUCCCUCAGCUUAACUGGGGAACUGCGUCUGAUACUGGAUGGCUUGAGUUUGGGAGAGGGAUGCGGAAUUCCAGGUGUAGCGGUGAAAUGCGUAGAUAUCUGGAGGAACACCGGUGGCGAAGGCGGCAUCCUGGACCAACACUGACGCUGAGGAGCGAAAGCGUGGGGAGCGAACGAGG
rnacentral:rRNA from 1 species